GGGGCGCGGUGAGGAGAGGGGCGGGAGGAUGCGGAAAUUACCGCUGUUCUGCGCCGGCAUACACAUGGUUGGUUGGUGUCGAAGAAGAGGGAUUAGGACGCGCUCCGCCUCUCCCUCUCCUUAGUAAGGGGCGGCCUUUCGGAGCGGCGCGCGGGUGUGCAAAAAUAAGGCGCUAACCCUGCCGCUACGCGCGCGCCUCGCCCUUUCCUCACCGCCCCGACUCGCGAGCCGGUACGAUCGAGAACCGACCCCGCGUUCACCUAAGUGCCUGUCUCCUCGGGGCUCGCUUGCCGAAUCCAAGAACCGGCCUGACAAGAACGGCCUCGAACCACCAAGGACUUGAGCGCCGACUCCGCGAGACUAGACUAAGACAGCCUCUUUCCUCCGCUCGCCAGCGGCUCUUCGAAGUCCGUUAAAAGAACUUGACUUGACGUAUAUCAGUACAGACCACCACGAAGGUUUUCUAAACCACUCUUACUUCUGAAACUUGAAGACGACUCGUUUUCACUAUAGUCUCUUAGUAGAAUGGCGUUCGUGAGGGACACCUACCGUGUGACCUGUUCUCUACCGGUGUCACGUCUUGGAGUUUUAUCGUUCUCGACAUCAGGCAAACUCCUUUAGCUACUACAGCCUAUAAGUUUUCUAACACCCUUAAAUGGAAAACUCGAGUACUUUCGAUCCUACCGACUUUCAAACUACCAACCUCAAUCGGUACCUCCACGUAGAAGGCCCUUAUGUGUCGUUAAGUCAAGAUUAUGCACCCCACAUCGUGUACUACAAACGGUUCUUCAAGUUACGUUCUUAUGACUAGUCAAAUUAUCUGGAAAGCUUUCUAGAUACCAUGUCUUUUUAGACUUACAUAUACGACGAUUCUGUCACUAUAGUCUUUCUAAAAGACAUGUAUUCGGAAGUCUAAAUAGACACCUAAGAGUAUUUGAAAACUCGAGACUGUUAGACUCAAGUCUUACCUCGGUAAAAGGAUACAAACGUUAGUUAUCCUUUUAACUGUCAUAUGAGUUGGGUUCUGCCAGACGAGAAAGACACAGUAGACUAUUUAAAAAACAAGGUGUUAUAUUAAACUUCCGUUUAUAUAGACGCAGAUUAUGUUACCGUAAAAGUAGUUUCCUUAUAGUCAAGGUGUGUGUGGUUCAUAGACUACUUUUAUACUGAGCGACGUUUAGACGUCGUCAGUAGGUUGGAGUAGUUCUACUAACAGAGCCAGAGUUAAGACUGGUACGUCCUUCUUUAGACUUUCCUGUAAACAGUCAACUUCUUAGCACGAGAACGUCAUUCCUACUUUGAUUGAGGGAACCAUCGGGUAGUUUUCCCAGUGGAAUAGUCAGAUCGUUCUUAUUUCUGUAUAAAAGUCGUUCGUCUUUUCUGCUACUUUAACAACUUCGAAACAACCUUGUCUUCAAUCCUUGUAGACUUUCUACGGUUUUUGUUGUCCUAACCCUCCUUCAUCAUAAAAUACUCGGUCGUAAUCUAUCUGUUAUGGUCUACUUUAGUCAACUACGAAGAAGGUAACCGUUCCCGUAACUACACCUGUAAUUACCGGUUCCACACUGUAAAGGAUUAAACAAUGUUCCACUUGUUGUUAUAGCGUUUCACCUAAGACGACACUUAAAGUGUCUCUAGAGGUUCAAUGACCUAUUUUAACUUUUCCGUGGUCAUUACUUCUCGUUUCCACUUCGUGACCGAACAUCUUUUGGUGGUUCCGUUUUUAACUGUUUAUCGUUCGUUUUUCCCAGGACGAAUAAACUUUACAAUUGCCAUGGUAGGUUUAGUGUAGAGUGUACGAGGUUUCUAGGUUGUAUAAGCCACUUAAGAGCGUCAUUGUGUUCGUCUACAAGUAACCUUUGUGUCUUUGUCAAGAGCUGUUUUUGUCUAUGUAACAUGUCGCUAUGAGUACUACGUAGUUUUAGGUAUCGUCCCAAGCGAAGUUGCAGUUGUGUUUUCCUGAGACCAAUGGGUCUGAGUCUUUUUUGACUUGCCCAUCAGAGAAGGAGUUGAUUUUCUCAUAGUUCGACGACACUUCCUUUACUUUGUUAGUUGUACUCGAGCCUCGUAGUUUUGAGAAUAAGGUUUCGUUGAACACGAUCAUUCUUUCUUACCUCGUAUGGGUUUUGCAGUUCGUACUUAAACCUAGAUCAAGAAAAAGUUUACUCGUCUUACUCUUUAGGCUAAAGGUUCCGAGGUUGACUCAGUGGUCAUACGAGUCUGGGUUUACUGUUCACCGACUUUGCGGACUUUACACUAUGAAGUCUAGGUGUACAAGGAACAAGGUUCUUUGGUUUCUGACCUCUGUAUCGUUGAGGACCUCCUCGUACAUGGCACAAACCAGUUCACGAACUAAUAUUCUCCCUGUCACGAACGUACUAGUUUGUCCAAUUCCUCCUGGUUCACCACGUACUUUGUAACUACCUGGUUGUUUUGGUUCUACGCAGAGGAUACAGUUGUUUUUCAGAAUUAGUGACCUAUCCCUCCACCACGGUUCCACCGAGGGGAUCAAAAGUACCUCGAAGCUCAGGUCGUUUCGUUAGCGCUUUCAGAUUGUGUGGUGGACUAACAGAACUUCCAGUCAAAGGUUCGUAGCGGCGCUACCGAUACUACCCCGCACAUUACUUGUUCGAGGCGGGAACACUUGAACUCUUCUCCCCAGGAAGACAUCAGACCUUCUGUCUCCCCAAUACUCACGGACAGGCCGAAUUAAGUUCUGGCCGGUAGCCGACACCCAAUUUUAAACGUACGUCCUUUCUUUGACGUGACGAUGCGACUACCGUUACGCAUACUAACAAAGGAGUGUCUUCUUCUCUUUUUGUACCAUCACACUUAUAGUAAGGUUCCUCUCUUUUUAUACACACCAAAGAUGGUUAGUGUCACACUAUCUAACUACACAACUAACACAUUCCAAGGACCCUACCUAUAGAAAAAGGUAGCAGACUUCCCACGGUAUAAACACAUGGCACUGGUUUGUCUAUAAGUAUUGACACCUCCAACGUAAGUCAAAUAUAAAUGAAAUGAACUUAAGCUCAAUACAAUACAACGAAGGUCUUUUUUCCUUUUUUCUUUUUCUCAAUGUAACAGCGACACGAAAAGAAGCCUCGACGACCUUCCUAUUUUCAAAUCUGCGAUUACAAAAGACCUGGGAUAGGACUAUUUAUAAACUUCGCGUUUAAGAUUUAGAAUACUUCGUCUUCAGCAGACCAUAUCGUUACCACGACCUAGGUCGGGCGGCCCCGAGUGGCCACCAGGCCGACACCCACGACGUCGCGCUCGAGUCCGGAACCUACAUUUAGCUUGCUAGUCGACUCCUUAAGGACCUGAACACACAUUACUGCCGUGAGUAACUCCCAAAAGACGUUUAAGCACACUCGAGAGGAACACUGGCACCCUAGAUCCCUUGAAACUAAAGUUACCACUACUUCUACUAA
rnacentral:rRNA from 1 species